rnacentral:rRNA from 1 species
AGUCGUAACAAGGUUUCCGUAGGUGAACCUGCGGAAGGAUCAUUACUGAUAGUUUUAGUUUGUUGCCUGCGCUUAAUUGCGCGGCGACAAGCAAACACCUUACACACUGUGUUUUUGUUUUAUUGAAAACUUGCUUUGGUUUGGCGAAAGCUGGGCCAAAGACUUACACAAACUUCAAUUGCGAAAUUGAAUUGUUUUAAAUUUUUAUUGUCAAUUUUGUUUGAUUAAUUUCAAAAUAAUCUUCAAAACUUUCAACAACGGAUCUCUUGGUUCUCGCAUCGAUGAAGAACGCAGCGAAAUGCGAUAAGUAAUAUGAAUUGCAGAUUUUCGUGAAUCAUCGAAUCUUUGAACGCACAUUGCGCCCUUUGGUAUUCCAAAGGGCAUGCCUGUUUGAGCGUCAUUUCUCCUUCAAACCUUUGGGUUUGGUGUUGAGUGAUACUCUUAGUCAACUAAGUGUUUGCUUCAAAUAUAAUGGCAGGAGUGUACUGGAUAGUACGAACUGGUUAUUCAAUGUAUUAGGUUUAUCCAACUCGUUGAAGACUGGGGCAGUAAAUUUCUAGUAAUUGGCUCGGCCUUAUAAUAACAAACUAAGUUUGACCUCAAAUCAGGUAAGAAUACCCGCUGAACUUAAGCAUAUCAAUAGAAGUAAAAGUCG